CGACCGCUGGCGGCAUGCCUAACACAUGCAAGUCGAACGAGACCUUCGGGUCUAGUGGUGCACGGGUGCGUAACGCGUGGGAACCUGCCCUUAGGUUCGGAAUAACUCCCCGAAAGGGGUGCUAAUACCGGAUAAUGUCUUCGGACCAAAGAUUUAUCGCCUUUGGAUGGGCCCGCGUUGGAUUAGCUAGUUGGUAGGGUAAAAGCCUACCAAGGCGACGAUCCAUAGCUGGUCUGAGAGGAUGAUCAGCCACACUGGGACUGAGACACGGCCCAGACUCCUACGGGAGGCAGCAGUGGGGAAUAUUGGACAAUGGGCGAAAGCCUGAUCCAGCAAUGCCGCGUGAGUGAUGAAGGCCUUAGGGUUGUAAAGCUCUUUUACCCGGGAUGAUAAUGACAGUACCGGGAGAAUAAGCGCCGGCUAACUCCGUG
rnacentral:rRNA from 1 species